GAUGAACGCUGGCGGCGUGCUUAACACAUGCAAGUCGAACGAAGCUACCCAAAGGAAGUUUUCGGAUGGAAUUUAGGUAGACUUAGUGGCGGACGGGUGAGUAACGCGUGGAUAACCUGCCUUAUACAGGGGGAUAACGGAGAGAAAUUUCCGCUAACACCGCAUAAGACCACAGCACCGCAUGGUGCAGGGGUAAAAUAUUUAUAGGUAUAAGAUGGAUCCGCGUCCGAUUAGCUAGUUGGUGAGGUAAAGGCCCACCAAGGCGACGAUCGGUAGCCGGCCUGAGAGGGUGAACGGCCACAUUGGGACAGAGACACGCCCCACUCUCCUACUGUAAGGGUACACUGGGAAAAAUUGGA
rnacentral:rRNA from 1 species